AAAUAGGCUGCCGUGCGAAGGUAAACUCAUACCUUUCUCGGCCUUUUGGCUAAGAUCAAGUGUAGUAUCUGUUCUUAUCAGUUUAAUAUCUGAUACGUGGGACAAUGUCCCACAUGAUAUUAAAUUAGUUUUUUGAGGGGGAGGGUUCACAACAGUGGCUUGCCACAGGAACCCUCGACCGUCGCCCUUGCGCUGCACUACAGCUUGGGCCAGGCGCACCCCGUCAAAUCUAGUUUAAGUGUUGAGAGCUGUCGGCAGUGGGUGAACAAGGUUUAUGCGAAUCCUCACUUUGAUGGUCGAAGACAAAGAUUACAGACGAUUACCAAGUGGUUCGGCUGCCUUACAAGAUAAAGAGAUUUGUUUUUUUGCAGUUCAAAUCGGUAAGGAAUAUGUUGAAACCUGCUCCACCGUGUACUUGAUUUUGAACUCCUUCCUGGUACCUAUUGCUGCCGCUGUUACACUAUUUGAAGCUAUAUGCUUUUGCGGAGUAGAAAGGGUGAUUGCUUCGAAAGGAAAAGAAACUACAAACUGGAAGAUACAUCAGAUGUUGUUUUACUGUUCCUGUGUCACCGUAGCUGGUGUGGUGGGUGGAUUACUUGGGCUAGGAGUGUUUUACUGUUCCUAUUGCUUCCCAAUGGAGGUUCCUCUAGUGAUCAUGUCAUGUGAGAUUCCAAUGUUGGCCAUUUAAGAUAGUUGGGAAAUACAAGAAUACUUACAACCAGAAAAUGGAUUAAAAGGCCCUACAAAGGCAUUUUUAGUGUAGUCAAAAGUGUUAAGAGGAGCUUAGUGCUGCUUGAUAGGUGGCUGUGGCAGUAAAAAUUGUCACCACAAGUAGUACGUUUCGGACUUCAAGAGGAGUUUUAUUUAUGCUUAGGUACCAUUUGUGACUACUCCCUUAUACGCAGUUGCAAGGGAGGGAAAGACCCAUUUUGCCAAGGAAAUACUAAACUCAAAGCCUUCAUUUGCUUGGAAGUGAGACCAUCUUGAGCAUAGCCCCUCCAUUUGGCUUUGGAAGGGAACAGCAGCUGCAGGAAGGGCUUAAUUAGUCCCCGUGCUCUGGAUUUGGAGAGGAAGUAUCAGGAACUUGUAACAUUGUUGAUGAAACAUGAUAGUGAGCUUGUUCGUGUUAAAGCUAAGAGGACGCUUACUCCUUUGCACUAUGCAGCUCAACUAAACGAUGAAUCCAAUAUGACAGACUUUUCGCAUGUUUAUUCAUUAUCAAUUGAAGAAACUGUUAAAUCUGAAACUGCUGUCCAUGUCGCCCUCAAAAAUGGGAGUUUGAAAGCCUUUAAAGUCUUGCUAGGAUGGCUUUGCUACUUCAACAAAGAAGAGAUCCUGAACUGGGAGCACUAGGAAGGAAAGAAUGCAUUGCAUACUGCAGUAUCUGCAAAUCAACCUGAGGCAGUGAAGCUGUUGAUUGGAUGUAUGGAAGUGAGUAAUAAGAACAGUAAAGGUUUGACAGCUUUUGACAUCUUCUAUGGUCGCCAAGGUUUGCUAGAUGCUGCUGGUAGGGACAUUCUACUUGCUGCUAAAGCUAAAACAGCAUCUCAACUCUAUAGUUUGCUUAUGAGACUUCCAAAAUUAUUAUUUAUUUAUUUGGUUUGUUUUUCGAAGGAAUUUUGAAAGAUUCCGACUGGAUUACCUACGCAUAAAUAAAGCUCCUUUUGAAGUCCGGAACAUACUACUUGUGAUGGUAAUUUUGACUGUCAUAGCCACCGAUCAAGUUGCACUAAGCUUCUCUUGAAACUUUUGACCAUACUGAAAGGGCCUUCGUAGGGGCUUUGUUUAUCCAUUUUUUGGUUGAAAGUACCCAACUAUCUUAUCUCGCCGACAUUGGAAUCUCAGAUGACAUGGUAUGCUGGAGGAACCUGCAUUUGGGAAGCAAUAGGAACAAUAAAACACUCCUCUUAGCCCAGGUAAUUCACCCACCACACCAGUUACUAUCCCAUAGGAACAGUAAAACAUCUGAUGUAUGUAUUUUGAGGAAGAAUACAAAUUGACUGUUGAACUGAAAUUUGAAAUAAAUGUGAAUCUCAGAAGAUAGUUUAUUAAA